rnacentral:rRNA from 1 species
AUACGGAGGAUGCGAGCGUUAUCCGGAUUUAUUGGGUUUAAAGGGAGCGUAGGUGGGAUAUUAAGUCAGCUGUGAAAGUUUGGGGCUCAACCUUAAAAUUGCGGUUGAUACUGGUUUCCUUGAGUACGGUACAGGUGGGCGGCAUUCGUGGUGUAGCGGAGAAAUGCUUAGAUAUCACGAAGAACUCCGAUCGCGAAGGCAGCUCACCGGGCCGGAACUGACACUGAUGCUCGAAAGUGCGGGUAUCAAACAGGAUUAGAUACCCUGGUAGUCCGCACAGUAAACGAUGAAUACUCGCUGUUUGCGAUACACGGUAAGCGGCCAAGCGAAAGCGUUAAGUAUUCCACCUGGGGAGUACGCCGGCAACGGUGAAACUCAAAGGAAUUGACGGGG